UUGUGGCGUGGCGGAGAUCUUUGUGGGCUAUACUCAGCCUUGUCUCAGGAUGGUAAGUUGGUGGUUGAAGAUAUCCUUCUAGUGUGUGGGGGCUGUGCUUUGGCAAACUGGGUGGGGUUAUAUCCUUCCUGUUUGGCCCUGUCCGGGGGUGUCCUCGGAUGGGGCCACAGUGUCUCCUGACCCCUCCUGUCUCAGCCUCCAGUAUUUAUGCUGCAGUAGUUUAUGUGUCGGGGGGCUAGGGUCAGUUUGUUAUAUCUCGAGUACUUCUCCUGUUCUAUUCGGUGUCCUGUGUGAAUUUAAGUGUGCUCUCUCUCUAAUUCUCUCUUUCUCUAUCUCGGAGGACCUGAGCCCUAGGACCAUGCCUCAGGACUACCUGACAUGAUGACUCCUUGCUGUCCCCAGUCCACCUGGCCGUGCUGCUGCUCCAGUUUCAACUGUUCUGCCUUAUUAUUAUUCGACCAAGCUGGUCAUUUAUGAACAUUUGAACAUCUUGGCCAUGUUCUGUUAUAAUCUCCACCCGGCACAGCCAGAAGAGGACUGGCCACCCCACAUAGCCUGGUUCCUCUCUAGGUUUCUUCCUAGGUUUUGGCCUUUCUAGGGAGUUUUUCCUAGCCACCGUGCUUCUACACCUGCAUUGCUUGCUGUUUGGGGUUUUAGGCUGGGUUUCUGUACAGCACUUUGAGAUAUCAGCUGAUGUACGAAGGGCUAUAUAAAUACAUUUGAUUUGAUUUGAGUUAACUCACUGUUCCCUGAUAGGCUGUCAUUGUAAAAAUAAUUUGUUCUUAACUGACUUGCCUAGUUAAAUAAAAGCUAAAUAAAAUACUACAAGUACAGGACUUUGCAACAUCACACUGAAUUGUUCAAGCUGGAUAUUCUCUGUCUGUGAUGAGGUCAGUACACACUGUACCAAGAUACUCUGUCACUCUGUGAGGUCACCGUCUCCAGUUGUAAUGGAUUUAUCCAGUGUAUUGUCAACAAUCACAUCAAUGCAGAGACCAAAUCACAACGCAUGGUGUCUCAAUGUCAGUCUAAUUUACUAACUUCCGCUUUCUGUGAAUUCCUCUAUCAUUAUUUUUUUUAAAUCAACUAAGUUUUAUCAUUGCAGUUAUAUUCUUCUCCAGCAAAAAUGUGGAUAAUGCUGUUUUUGUGUGUAUAUGUGUGGGUGUGACAUCUCAGGUAUUGGUGAGAAGAAGGGGAUCGCUGCAGCAUCACUAGUUGGCAUCAUUGUGGGUAUUGUUACUGGUGGAUUAUUCUUAGUUGGUGUAGGAUGCAUCAUAUCAACCAGAAGAUGGCGAUCCCCUAAAGAAAUACUGCUUCUGAAGGUACCCUCUCAUUAAUCUAUGUUGAAACAACCGUAGAGUCUAUUGACAUACCGGUGCAUAAAUGCCGUUGUUCCAGAAGUUGAAAACCCAGUGAGCGCUAUACCAGGAAGACCAGAACCACAGAACACCCCUGGAUCUGAGGUGACAUCUAUCUACAUUUCUGCAAGGAGACCAGGAGCAGUACCAGCAUCAGCAGAAGGAGAAGAGGGCCAUCCAGGGGACAAAGAGUACACUUCACCAGAAGAGAGGAAAGAACCACAGUCCCCCCCACAGGCAGAGACAUUCUACAGCACCCUACAGAUACCAGCUGCAGCACAGCGCCACCCAGUGGACAAAGGAUAUAAUCUAAAGAAACCAGACACGGUGUACUGCACAAAAGGAGAUAAACUACCCUACUAAACUACCCCUGCAUCCCUCUCAAAGACCCCUGAUGUUACAUUGACUAAGACUUGACCCAUAGACUCAGAUACUGAACAGCAAACACAGGGGAAGUUACAAAGAAGAGAAUUAUGAUAAUUUAUUGUUUAUUUUGUUUUGGUCUAAUUUCAUCCAUAUUUGAAGUGGCAAUUUGCGAUUGCUACAUACUUUUAAAUGAGUGGUAUAUAACUAUUGAUUCAUGUAGAAUACAACAUAUGCUUGUUUAACUGCAUUGUUUGUAAACAUUGCAAUUGUAAAAACAAAAUGGCGGCAGGGUGCCCCUUUAGCAGUAGAGCGUUUUGCAUACUGUCUUAUUUUCUGUAAAUGAAUGUGAAAACAUGCAGAUGAAUACAGUAGCACUGUACAUGCUUGAAAUGUGUAAACAAAACAACUGAAUUGAAAAUGGGAAACCCAUCCAAUCAAUAAGUAAAUACAUAAACCAAUCAUUCAAUGAAUAAAUCAAUCAAGCAACAA